rnacentral:rRNA from 1 species
UACGGAGGGUGCGAGCGUUGUCCGGAAUCACUGGGCGUAAAGGGCGCGUAGGCGGCCGAGCAAGGUUGUGGUGAAAGCCCGGGGCUCAACCCCGGGUCGGCCAUGGCAACUACUCGGCUGGAGCACUGUAGAGGCAGAUGGAAUUCCUGGUGUAGCGGUGAAAUGCGCAGAUAUCAGGAGGAACACCGGUGGCGAAGGCGGCUUUCUGGGCCUUACCUGACGCUGAGGAGCGAAAGCUGGGGGAGCAAACAGG